CCCUGAGUACAGCGGCGCACGGGUGAGUAACACGUGGAUAAUCUGCCUGGAAGUGGGGAAUAACCCUGGGAAACCGGGGCUAAGACCGCAUACGCCUGCAAAGGGAAAGCCGCAAGGCGCUUCCAGAGGAGUCCGCGGCCGAUUAGCUAGUUGGUGAGGUAACGGCUCACCAAGGCGGUGAUCGGUAGCCGGCCUGAGAGGGCACACGGCCACACUGGCACUGAAACACGGGCCAG
rnacentral:rRNA from 1 species